GACGAACGCUGGCGGCGUGCUUAACACAUGCAAGUCGAACGGUGAAGCAGAGCUUGCUCUGUGGAUCAGUGGCGAACGGGUGAGUAACACGUGAGUAACCUGCCCUUGACUCUGGGAUAAGCGUUGGAAACGACGUCUAAUACCGGAUACGAGCUGAGACCGCAUGGUCAUCAGUUGGAAAGAUUUUUUGGUCAAGGAUGGACUCGCGGCCUAUCAGCUUGUUGGUGAGGUAAUGGCUCACCAAGGCGACGACGGGUAGCCGGCCUGAGAGGGUGACCGGCCACACUGGGACUGAGACACGGCCCAGACUCCUACGGGAGGCAGCAGUGGGGAAUAUUGCACAAUGGGCGCAAGCCUGAUGCAGCAACGCCGCGUGAGGGAUGACGGCCUUCGGGUUGUAAACCUCUUUUAGUAGGGAAGAAGCGAAAGUGAUGGUACCUGCAGAAAAAGCACCGGCUAACUACGU
rnacentral:rRNA from 1 species